UACGUAGGGUGCAAGCGUUGUCCGGAAUUAUUGGGCGUAAAGAGCUCGUAGGCGGUUUGUCGCGUCGACUGUGAAAACCCGAGGCUUAACCUCGGGCCUGCAGUCGAUACGGGCAGACUAGAGUUCGGUAGGGGAGACUGGAAUUCCUGGUGUAGCGGUGGAAUGCGCAGAUAUCGGGAGGAACACCAGUAGCGAAGGCGGCACUCUGGGCCGGUACUGACGCUGAGGAGCGAAAGCGUGGGGAGCAAACAGG
rnacentral:rRNA from 1 species